AAAAAAUCAAAAUUUCUUGAGAAAAUGAUGGCCAUCACUAAGCACUUUAUUUUCUUCACUCUACUUGCUUUUGUUAUCUUUCCUGCUUAUCAAUGUAAGUAUAAUUAAGAAAAUUCAUAUUUCUUUUUUUUAUGCAUAUAAUAGUUGUUGAAUAUUUUGUCUUUUUUAUUUUUUUUAUUUCUUUAUAUUUUGAAUUUUCUCGAUGAAAAUUCUGAUUCUGUCAUGAUAACCCAGGGGCGAAUCUAUUAAGCCUCGUGAGGGUGCCACGCCACCCACAAACUUCGACAAAAACUCUAUAUAUAUAUAAGCAGGGGUGGAUCUAUUAAGCCUCGUGAGGGUGCCACGCCACCCGCAAACUUCGAUAAGAACUCUCUCUCUCUAUAUAUAUAUAUAUAUAUAAGUACAAAUAUACAGAAUGUAUAGAAAUAAAACAGAUGCCACCUAAUGAAAUAAAGAGGUACUUGGUACAUGGUCAUCUAGUCCACCCAAGGGAUGUGGGUUCAAACCUUGUUGUUGUCUUAAAUUUAGCAUAAAUUCAAUUAUUCUCUUUUUAUUUGUUUUAAAAAACAAUUUGUUAAGUUUGCUACAUAAAUUUAAUUAUGCUCUUUUCAUUCGUUUUUAAAGCCAACUUGUUAAGUUUGCUAUAUAAAUUUAAUUAUGUUCUUUUCAUUUGCUUUUAGUUAUUUUGUUUUUGACUUGUAUUAAUUUAUUUAUUUUUGAAUAAUUUAAUUUAUUAGUUAUUUCUCAUUAAUUAAUUAGUAUUUGUUUGAUAUAAAAUUUAAAAGAUGAAUAAGUUUUGUUUUCUCUCCCAUCAAAUUAAAAAAAAAAUUGUCCAGAUAUUGAUAAACAUAAAAAUAAUUAUACACAAAAUUGAGGUCAAAUAUUGUGAAAAGUCACAAUUUUUUGCCUCUUAAAGAAAGAUAAAUAAGUAAGAAGUUGAUGCAGCCAAAAAAAAAUUCUAAGGAGGUUAAAAAUCUAAAGAAGUAAACACACGAACUAAUCUAAGAAGUUCAGUAUCUAUUAUAUAUACAUAAAAGUAAAUUUAAUCAUAUAUAAAUAAUAUAGUUUUUGGUCGAAGAGGGGCCUUGACCAUAAACUGGUUCUCAUUCAAAAUUUAAAGUCUUCGGUUGAUUUAAUCGAUGAGUCUACUUGGCACCCAAAGACUUAGAAUCCUGAAUCUGCCUCUGCUAUAACCUAAUUAGAGUUUAAUUUGAACCUAAAAUUUCUGAUUGAGAUCAGUGGAGGAAUCAUGUCCAUCUCAUCAUAAUACUUAGUAAUAAAUAAAAUUAAAUUAACUCCUAUUUAUUUAUGUAUGUUGGCUUGUUUAUUUUUCAUAAUUAAUCAUUUAUACAUACAUACAUAUAUAUAUAUAUAUAUAUAUUGGUUUUCAUUUCUAUCUUUUAUUUUAAUGCAGGUGAAAAAUUGAGCAACAAAUAUGGGAGAAAAGAUAGGAUACUUAUUGACCUUGGAAAGUGUUUUCAAUACACAAUAAACAAAUGGUGUUGUGAUUCAACUCUAACACCUUUAUUGUGUUAUGAUUCAAUGGAUAAAUGCAAAAAGAAUUGUCCUCAUUGGCCACCAGCUC
rnacentral:lncRNA from 1 species